GGUGAGAUGGCCGAGCGGUCUAAGGCGCCAGACUAAGGUGAUUCAGUCACGUGAUCUGGUCCGAAUAGGGCGUGGGUUCGAAUCCCACUCUCAUCA